rnacentral:pre_miRNA from 1 species
AAACCGCCCCCUAAGUUUUGCAACUGUAGCAGUUUUGGUCCCCCAAGGUCAAUUUUUGGUAAAAAAAAAAUUAAAAAAUAACACGUGGCACGCACCUCACUUAGGGUGCCACGUCAACGUAGACCGAGUCAAAAUUGGCCUUGAGGGCCAAAACUGCCACAGAUGCAAAACUUAGGGGGCGGUUU